AAUCCUUGAGGUGCAAAAUGGCUCUGCAUUUACUUAUUUUACUUAUUCAGCUCAAUGGCUGUUUAAAUUCAAAUGAUGUGAGUGGUUUAGCAAUAAUUUUAAAAAGGAACACUUCAUAAGUGUGCAGAAGACAGACUCUAAAUUGCAACAUGACAACCUACAAGGGGCAACUUCUACCCUACCUCAAGGCCUGGGAGAACAGCCAAGGAUUCAUUGAUUUUCAGAACGUCCUCAGGUUUCACUGUUCUUUCUGGCCAACAGAUGGCAGGACAAUUCCUGCAAAUAAGGGGAAAAAGUGGACCUGCCGAACAAAUUCUCCCGAAACUAGUGACCGAAGAAUCUUGAUAACACUGUUCAAUUAUGGUUGAAGCGAUCUAAGGCUUGUGCAAGUAAAAACCAUGAUUGAUAAUUAUUAAGGUAAAGGUUUGCACCUCA